CCCUAAAUGUUCAUUGUACUUUGCUUAGUGAAAUAUAUGCACUUGUUAACAGCAUCCAUCAUGGAAGACCAAGAGCAUUCCACAGAAGAGCAGAGGCCGCACAGUGCUAGAAAAACUAAGCGGCCAUUUAUUGAUGCUAUAAGAGCAUGCUUUUGUGCAUGUUUCACCAAAAAACGGAUCUCUUCUUCCCACUACAAGAAAUAGAAGAGAAAACAUAAAAAAGUGAUGAACUUGGACAAGCCUACGACAAUUGCCUGACAACUUCUCCGACCAUCCACAAUAAGACAACUCAGGAGAAAAUCUGUCUCUUCUCCAAUAAUUUCUUUAAGAAAAAGCACAUUUUUAUUUUAUGUUUUAGAAUAAUAUAGUAUUAUAUUACAUAUUCUUCAGUGUUAUUUUCACCUGU